AUUGCAACAUUUUCAGAAAAUGCAAAUAGUCUCAUGCUCUGCUUGACGUUUUUAUCGGGGGAAGCGCAAGCGCAUCCACAGUGCUGACACAUUCAGUUUUACAGGAACUACAAGCGCCCACUUCAGACUCUCAUCUGUGUUCUUUUUAUUACAAAAAAAAAUUAUACAGAAUCCCAAAUAUCGAUGCUUUAGAUUUGAAAGCUUCCAGUUCACAGUAUAUCAAACCAAAGCUGCAUACCUAUUGAUAUUGUUUAUACUGUAAUACGGUACAAAUGAACACAUUUUUGAUAGAAAAGAAGUGUUUACUGUGUAGCAUGCAUUAUAAAGUCAGACUAUUAGCAGAUCAGGACACAUUCAGCUGCACUAGAGUCGAGGUCUAAAGACAGGAUCCUGGAAGACAGCACUGUAUAACAACCUAGGCACACUGUAGAUAAGCCAUGUACAGGAGAAACACACAUGAAUUUCAUCUCAUGAAUUCUCUAACAAUGUUUCUACAUUACGAAAGAGGCACAGGAUUUCAUGUGCAUUCAUUUUCUUCAGCUACAUAAUGGAAUUGUGGGCAUUUUGUUUGUAAUUGGAAGAGGAUAGCUUGUUGGUCAGUUAAGUAAGGGCAAUUUGUUCUGUGUGAAAGGGUUUAGUGAUGAAUUACUUGAAGUAAAUGUAUUCAAUUAAACAAGACAUUAAGUUACUUUUACCACCAUGAAGUUGAUUAUAUUCUGUUUAUGGAGUGUUUCAUUUCUCUUAUACCUCAACAAUUUAACAACACUGAAUUUUUUUUAAAAAAAACAGUUAGCUCCUGUUAUGACUUAUGUUAUAGCUUAUGUUUAUCACUUGUGUUUAAUCUGUUGUCACUUAUGUUUAAUCUGUAUCCUGUGCUAAUAUGUUUCUGUAAAGCUGCUUUGAGACAAUGUCCAUUGUUAAAAGCGCUAUACAAAUAAAAUUGAAUAGCAGCUAUAAACAACCAUUCCCUUUUUUUCUCCCUGUUGAAGUUAAUCAGCUUCUCAUGUUACAAAGAAACAACACCAUCUAUGAACACUUAAAGCUAC
ensembl:lncRNA